AUGGCGAUGGUCCUGGAUGCUUUUGCAUCCUAUGUGCUAAACAUGCUAACGGAGAUGGCGAGGGAAGAGGUGCACAUGCUGCUUGGAUUCAGACGGGAGAUCGACAAGAUGGACAUUAAACUUAGGGACCUCAAGAACUUCCUCGCCGACGCUGACAGGAGAAACAUCACCGACAAGAGCAUGCAAGAGUGGGUGGGCGAGCUCAAGCGUGCCAUGUACGAAGCUGCUGAUAUACUCGACCUCUGCCAGCUCAAGGCCAUGGAGCGCCGUUCGUCCACUCUAGAUGUGGGGUGCUUCAACCCCUUGCUCUUUUGCAUGCAGAAUCCCUCACAUGCCCAUGACAUCGGCACCCGCAUCAAGGCACUCAACAAGAGGCUUGACACCAUCAAGGAGCGAAGUGCUGCUUUCAGCUUCAUCAAUAUUGGUGCAUAUGAAGAUCGUAGCAGCAAAGUGCACGUCACUCGUUCUGCUAAUCCCAACCGUGAGACGACAGGGGAAUUUGACCGGUCGGGUGUAGUUGGGGAGAAGAUCAAAGAAGACACAAGAGCGCUGGUUGAGACCAUGUUAGCUGAAAAAGAGGGCAACACCAACAUCAUGGUCGUGGCCAUUGUUGGUGUCGGCGGGAUUGGCAAGACUACUCUUGCCCAGAACGUCAUCAAUGAUGAAACCAUGAAGGCCGAGUUUGACAACACAAUAUGGUUAAGCAUCAACAAGGACUUUGACAAAGUUGAGUUACUAAGGACAAUCAUCACGCUCGCCGGGGGUGUACAUGGAGGUGAAAAGGCAUUGGUUGUGCUUCAGUCAGUCCUCACCACUGCCUUGAAAGGAAAGAAAUUAUUCCUGGUACUAGAUGAUGUAUGGAACCAUGGAGCGUGGGGUGAUGUGCUUAAAACUCCCUUGGAUAAUGUUGUGGCUCGAGGUAGCCGAGUCCUCAUCACUACUAGAGAUGAAAAAGUAGCCCGAGGGAUGAAAGCUGAGCUUCCCUACCACCAUGUCGACAAAUUAGAGGAGGAGGAUGCCUGGUCAUUGCUCAAGAAACAGAUAGUCUCAAGCGAGACAAAUGGACAUGAAAUUGAUAUGCUCAAGGAUAUUGGAUUGCAAAUUAUUGCAAAAUGUGAUGGUUUGCCUCUUACUGUCAAAGUAAUGGGAGGACUCUUGUGCCAAAAGGACAAUAAGCACCGUGACUGGGAGAUGGUUCUGGAUGAUUCUAUAUGGUCAGUAUCUGGAAUGCCCGAAGAGCUAAACCAUGCAGUCUAUUUAAGCUAUGAAGAUUUACCUUCCAGCAUGAAACAAUGCUUUCUAUGCUACUCCCUUCUCCCCAAAACUGCAUUGUUCAAAAGAGACAACAUAAUUGGCAUGUGGAUUAGUGAAGGAUUUCUUCAGGGAACCUCAGAUGACUUGGAAGAACUAGGUAGAAAGUACUAUAAGGAGCUGAUACUAAGAAACCUUAUAGAGCCAAAUGUAGAGUAUGUUGAUCAACGUGUUUGCAACAUGCAUGACGUUGUGCGCUCAUUCGCUCAAUUUGUGGCUAGAGAUGAGGCACUAGCCGCUCACAGCAGUGAAACAAAUAUUGUUAGUAAACUCAGUGCACAGAAGUUUCUUCGAAUAUCUCUAGAAGGCAAAGUAUCAGAAUCAGAUGGGUUGGACUGGGGUUCUUUGCAACCACAAAAGACACUGAGGACACUAAUAUCAGUUGGCAGUAUAAAUAUGAAGCCUGGUGAUUCGCUUGUUCAUUUUCCAUGUCUACGAACUCUACAUACAAAUUCUGCACGUAUUGUUGCAUUGGUUGAAUCUGUGCAUAAACUCAAGCACCUGAGGUACUUGUCCUUAGAAAACUCUGAUAUAUCUAGUCUUCCAGAUAGCAUUGGAAAGAUGAAAUUCUUGGAGUACAUUAACCUUACAGGAUGCCAACAGUUUGUUAAACUACCAGAUAGCAUUGUAAAGUUAGGGCAUCUAAGGUAUCUUAACUUCAAUAGCACAAGUAUAAAUGGCAUACCUAAGGGAUUCCGUGAUCUGACAAAUCUGAGGAUAUUACGUGGGUUCCCAGCUAGGGUAGAUGGUGAGUGGUGUAGUUUGGAUGAGUUGGGCCCUCUUUAUCGGCUCAAGCAUGUUGGAAUACAAGGGUUGGAGAAUGUAACUGCUUCCUCGUCCGCAACAAAGGCAAAGCUUAGUGAGAAGGUGCAUCUUACGAACCUAUACUUAACAUGCAGUAGUAUAUUGGGGGACAAUGGACUGAUUGAAGAGGAAGUGCACCAGCGAAUUGAGGUGGUGUUUAAUGAGCUCUGCCCUCCGCCAAGGUUAGAAUUUCUUUCCAUUGAAGGAUAUUUUGGCCGACGGCUCCCAAGGUGGAUGAUGUCAUCAGAUUUGCCCCUCAAUAGCUUGAGGAUUUUGUUCAUUUGCGACCUGGCUUGCUGCACACAGCUUCCUGAUGGCUUGUGCCAACUCCCUUAUUUGGAGUUCAUUCAGAUCAACCGUGCUCCAACCAUCAAGCGUGUUGGACCUGAAUUCAUGCAGUCCUACCAUCACCAUAGUCCUCGUACUUCCCAAAUGGUGGUUGCAUUUCCGAGAUUGCGUGAUAUGGAUUUACUAGGAAUGGUGGAAUGGGAGGUGUGGGAGUGGGAGGAGCAAGUGCAAGCUUUUCCUUUCUUGCAUGAACUCAGGCUAAGCCACUGCAAAUUGAAGUGUCUUCCUCCUGGCCUUGCCUCCCAGGCAAGGGCUUUGAAUAAAAUGUCCAUACAAUCUAUCCAGGGUCUCAUCUCUCUAGAGAAAUUUCCAUCUCUGGUUGAGCUGUUCCUGGAUGACAAUCAUGACCUGGAGAGGAUCACUAAUCUUCCCAGACUGCAGAAGCUUACAAUUGAAGAUUGCCCAAAGUUGAACGUGUUGGAGGGUGUUCCUGCACUCCAGGGGCUCUCUCUCAGAGAUAAAGUCAUGGAUGCACUCCCAGAAUACAUGGGACGUAUAAACCCAAGGUAUUUGGAGCUACAAUGCAGCAUAGCACUGCUCGCUUCCAUAGCCACAACACAAUCUGGCCCUGAGUGGGACAAGUUCAGCCAUAUUGAGCAUGUCAGGGCAUAUGCAUGUGGAGGUGAUAAUCCAAGGAAAUGGUACGUCUUGUACACAGCUAACCCCUACAACUUGGAGACAAAUGUCAGCCUCUCUUUCUUGUCCAGAGGAACCUUAACUUUUGUAGAGGACACCCAAAUAUUCGAGUCUGUCUUCAAAAUGACAAGAAAAACCUUUAGCUACAUCUGCAGCUUGGUGAUGGGGCCGUCAAUGGAAGAUAUGAACAGCUGCACCUUUAUUGACGGGAGGGUGUUGUCUUUACAAGAUCGAGUAGUAGUUGCUUUGAGAAGGUUGCAAUGUACUGAGCCAACAGAGACCAUAGCAUCCUCUCUUGGUGUGAGCGAGUCAACAGUCUUGUUGGUAACUGAGAGGUUUGCUGCUGCUGUGUGGCAGGAAGCAGAUCACCACUUCCGCUGGCCAGACUCCAGACAAAUGGAUAAGAUCAAAUCCAUGUUUGACAAGAUCCACAAUAUGCGUAACUGUUGCGGUGUUAUAUGUACAAUUGACACUACAUUUGGACCAAACUACGACCAUGAGAAGAUUGAGAGCCCUCAGAUGCAAGUCAUCGUUGAUCCAGAGAUGAGGUUCAGGAACAUUUGGUUUGGAUCGACAAGUAGACUAAACCGCUUAACCAGAUUGUACGACUCUGAUCUCUUCAAGGAGUGCGAGAAGGGCAGUUUGCUGAAUGGCAGCAAGCUGAAAGUAGCAUUAGAUGGACCAGAAGUCGGGGAAUACAUAAUUGGUGAUGCAGGAUAUCCUCUUCUCCCCUGGCUACUCACACCUUACCAUGAAGACUAUCACUCAGAUUACAAGGCGGAAUUCAAUAGGAGACACUCCUCAGCCACAACCUGUGCUAUGAAGGCAGUCGCAAGGCUCAAAGACACAUGGAAGUACCUGCAGGGAGAGAUGCCGAGCCCCGUUAAUAUACGUGAGACAAUCUAUACCUGCUGCGUGUUGCAUAACAUAAUCAUAGAAAUGGAGGAUGAUGCAGCCAUUUUGAGUGCCAAGCAAAAGAGGAAUUGCUGUGAGGAAGUGCGCCAGUUAGCAAAUGAGGAUGCUGUCAAGGCGAGGGAUAUUCUGUCGCAACACUUCCUGGCCAGCAGGUCAUCUGAAUCGGGAGAGGAUGAUGAUGAAGCCAUGUUGUGGCCCAAGUACUGGAAUUAUUGUGACGAAUUGGAGUUAGCAAACAAGGAUGCUGUUUAG
rnacentral:rRNA from 1 species